ACGUCCUGGCUUCGCUUCAUCAAUCGUGCUAAUCUUUCGCCUUUUACUAAAUAUUAUCUUGGAGAGUAGCAUCCUGAUGACCUUAAGCUAAUUUUUCGAUUCCUACUAUGUGGGAAU